rnacentral:rRNA from 1 species
CUGAAUAACUACGCAGAUCGCUUCGGUUUCACACCGGCGACAAAUCCUUCAAGUGUCUGCCUUAUCAACUUUCGAUGGUAGUUUCUACGCCUACCAUGGUUUCGACGGGUAACGGAGAAUUAGGGUUCGACUCCGGAGAGGGAGCCUGAGAAACGGCUACCACUUCUAAGGAAGGCAGCAGGCGCGCAAAUUACCCACUCUCGGCACGAGGAGGUAGUGACGAAAAAUAACGAGAUAACCCGCUCUAGCGAGUUAUCAUCGGAAUGAGUACAAUCUAAAUCCUUUAACGAGGACCUAGCGGAGGGCAAGUCUGGUGCCAGCAGCCGCGGUAAUUCCAGCUCCGCCAGUGUAUAUCUAUGCUGCUGCGGUUAAAAAG